GAUGAACGCUGGCGGCGUGCCUAAUACAUGCAAGUCGAGCGAACAGACGAGGAGCUUGCUCCUCUGACGUUAGCGGCGGACGGGUGAGUAACACGUGGAUAACCUACCUAUAAGACUGGGAUAACUUCGGGAAACCGGAGCUAAUACCGGAUAAUAUAUUGAACCGCAUGGUUCAAUAGUGAAAGACGGUUUUGCUGUCACUUAUAGAUGGAUCCGCGCCGCAUUAGCUAGUUGGUAAGGUAACGGCUUACCAAGGCAACGAUGCGUAGCCGACCUGAGAGGGUGAUCGGCCACACUGGAACUGAGACACGGUCCAGACUCCUACGGGAGGCAGCAGUAGGGAAUCUUCCGCAAUGGGCGAAAGCCUGACGGAGCAACGCCGCGUGAGGGAUGAAGGUCUUCGGAUCGUAAAACUCUGUUAUUAGGAAAGAACAAAUGUGUAAGUAACUAUGCACGUCUUGACGGUACCUAAUCAGAAAGCCACGGCUAACUACGUG
rnacentral:rRNA from 1 species